UACGUAGGGGGCAAGCGUUGUCCGGAUUUAUUGGGCGUAAAGAGCGUGUAGGCGGCCAGACAGUCAGCUGUGAAAACUCGAGGCUCAACCUCGAGACGUCGGUUGAAACCGUCUGGCUAGAGUCCGGAAGAGGAGAGUGGAAUUCCCGGUGUAGCGGUGAAAUGCGCAGAUAUCGGGAAGAACACCCGUGGCGAAGGCGGCUCUCUGGGACGGUACUGACGCUGAGACGCGAAAGCGUGGGGAGCGAACAGG
rnacentral:rRNA from 1 species